AGAGUUUGAUCAUGGCCUCAGAACGAACGCUGGCGGCGUGCCUAACACAUGCAAGUCGAGCGCUCUUAGGGGUUUCGGCCCUUAGGGGAGCGGCAGACGGGUGAGUAACACGUGGGUAACCUGCCCCUGAGUGGGGGAUAACUACUCGAAAGGGUGGCUAAUACCGCAUGAGACCACGACCUUGCGGGGUUGGGGUCAAAGGCGCAAGCCGCUUGGGGAGGGGCCCGCGUCCGAUUAGCUAGUUGGUGAGGUAACGGCCCACCAAGGCGACGAUCGGUAGCUGGUCUGAGAGGAUGAUCAGCCACACUGGUACUGAGACACGGACCAGACUCCUACGGGAGGCAGCAGUGGGGAAUAUUGCGCAAUGGGCGAAAGCCUGACGCAGCAACGCCGCGUGGGUGAUGAAGGCCUUCGGGUCGUAAAGCCCUGUCAGAGGGGAAGAAACCUCUCCGCAAGGGGAGCUGACGGUACCCUCGGAGGAAGCACCGGCUAACUCCGUGCCAGCAGCCGCGGUAAUACGGAGGGUGCAAGCGUUGUUCGGAAUCACUGGGCGUAAAGGGCGCGUAGGCGGCUUGGGAAGUCCGAUGUGAAAGCCCGGGGCUCAACUCCGGAAGUGCAUUGGAAACUCCCAGGCUUGAGUUCGGGAGAGGAAGGCAGAAUUCCCGGUGUAGGGUUGAAAUCCGUAGAUAUCGGGAGGAAAACCGGUGGCGAAGGCGGCCUUCUGGAACGAAACUGACGCUGAGGCGCGAAAGCGUGGGGAGCAAACAGGAUUAGAGACCCUGGUAGUCCACGCUGUAAACGAUGGAUGCUGGGUGUGGGGUCCAAACCGGGGCUCCGUGCCGAAGCUAACGCAUUAAGCAUCCCGCCUGGGGAGUACGGUCGCAAGACUAAAACUCAAAUGAAUUGACGG
rnacentral:rRNA from 1 species